AUAGGCUAUUGUUUAUGUUUCUCUUGCAAUAGUGAAAAUAAUUUAAUGUCAGCCCUGCUAAUUCAAGCAUACUGUCCUCAAUCCUGGGUUAAAGAACAGAAAGAAGAAAAAGCACUAAGUGGCUGUUUAUCAUUAUGCAAAUGAACUUUUCUGGUUAUAAACUUGAUCUGAUCUGAGCAGCAGAAGAAGAGAAACUCCCAUCACUUUCAGCACCAACAUGUUUUCUGUAGCUCUGCUGUUACUGCUGGCUGCUGCAUCCUGUGUGAAGUGUGAACAGCUGACCCAGCCAGCCUCUGUGACUGUGCAGCCAGGUCAACGUCUGACCAUCAGCUGUCAGGUCUCUUAUUCUACAGGCAGCUACUGGACAGCUUGGAUCAGACAGCCUGCUGGGAAAGGACUGGAGUGGAUUGGGAUGAAACAUGGUGGUGGAUCUUCAUACUACAAAGAUUCACUGAAGAACAAAUUCAGUAUAGAUGCGCAAACUUCCAGUAAAACAGUGACUCUAAAUGGACAGAAUAUGCAGCCUGAAGACUCUGCUGUGUAUUACUGUGCCAGAUACGACCACAGUGACACAAACCUACUACUGUGCUCUACAAAAACUCCUAAUCUGAACAGGUUGUAUUAAACCACCAGAGGGGGAGC